GACGGAGGAUGCAAGUGUUAUCCGGAAUCACUGGGCGUAAAGCGUCUGUAGGUGGUUUAAAAAGUCCACUGUUAAAGAUUGAAGCUUAACUUCAAAAAUGCCGUGGAAACUUUUAAACUUGAGUAUGAUAGGGGUAGAGGGAAUUUCCAGUGGAGCGGUGAAAUGCGUAGAUAUUGGAAAGACCACCAAUGGCGAAGGCACUCUACUGGGCCAUUACUGACACUGAGGCACGAAGGCCAGGGGAGCAAACGGG
rnacentral:rRNA from 1 species